GUUUGGAAACUGCAGCUCUUCUCCUCCUACAUCAGCAUUUGGAGGUUCCUGGAGGCCCCUGUGAUCUGAUACAAGCUGGCCAGUGCUCAGGCUCUUAAUUCUCAUGGCAACCUAAACUGACUGACUAACACCACUGGGACAACCUAAUAUCCUUACUAUAUUUAAAGUCUGGCAGGCGCCCGCCACCACGCCCAGCUAAUUUUUUUAUUUUUAGUAGAGACGGGGUUUUCACCGUGGUCUCGNNNNNNNNNNUAGUAGAGACGGGGUUUCACCGUGGUCUCUAUCUCCUGACCUCGUGAUCCGCCCGCCUCGGCCUCCCAAAGUGCUGGGAUUACAAGCGUGAGCCACCGCGCCCAGCCAGAAUUUGCAUUCUUAUACAGAAGAUGGGGCAAGUACACAAGAAACCAAAGGCAAUGCAGAGUCAGACAAUGAAUGUAGGGUGCUUAGCCUACUUAAUAAAUAAGCAUUAAGUACUAAAUAACUGGCAUUUAAUAAAUGGUAACUAGAAUUCAUCUUUGAUGGCAUUUGAGUGGGUCUUAGGAGGUGGGCAAGAUUUUGCUUGGUGAAGAUGGGAGCCAGGAGAGGGCAUGCUGACUAGAAUGAACAGCAUAAACAGUAACACAAAAGGGA
rnacentral:lncRNA from 1 species